CAGAUUUGACAGAUUAUUUUUCCCUGACUUGCACUGUAUUGGAUUUGUUUUCUGUUGGCUAGUCAGAAACUAGAGAAUCGAUAAUCAGACAGUUUUAACAUAACUUCGUCUAAAGGACACACCUUACCAAACAAAGAUAAACAGGAAGAGAUGCACUAGCAACACAGAAAAACAGCCCAGCAGACCACCUAACCAAACCAGACUAGGACACAAGGGCGAAUAACGGAUUAAAACAAUGCAAUAUAGGAAAUCAUAUAAAAGAGAAAACGGAAUUCCCAAAGAACAUUCAAAACGGCAAAAUUGAAAAUGUUGCAGGCUCAGUUUGAUUGAGCUAUUCAUAGAUGGUAGUGUUUAUUGCAAUUUACCAUCCACGUCCCCUAGCACCGGCUUAAUCAGAAUUCACUUUUUAAACAUGGAUACAUGCUUCCGAGGGGUCGCUUAUUUUUAUUAUUAUUAUUUUAACAUGAUAACAAUAAAAAAAUUUGAAAUGAAAA